rnacentral:lncRNA from 10 species
CUGGCUCCCUAACCUCCCCGCCACGUCCAACCUCUAUCUCCAGGGCCCAGCGCGCAGCGGCCAAUUCCUGCCUCCCCUCCCCGCCCCCACCCCUCCCCCACUCCUCCCCAAUCUUCUGCGUCACAAAACUUUCCACUCCGGAAACGCAGCCUCCCCGGCUGCGGCGCAGGGCCCCCGGACCCUGCGGAACCUGGGCUGAAGCGAAAAAGCCAGCGGAAGGAACCCGGGAAAAAACAAGAAACCCAUUCCAUCCUCCUUUCCAGGCCUUCGCCCGCCCGAGACCCGCCGUCUCCCGGAGUUCUCGGGGAUAACGGGCUCAGCUGCGAAGUUCUUCCUUGAGCAUCUGAAUUUGGUUGUGGUCAGAUGGUGGAUAAAGCUGGACUUAUCUGAAUCUUCUUUCGUCACAUGUCUGGAGUGUCUGGAGUGGCUGGAAAACAGCUUCCUCACAAGACGGAGUCUUACUGUAGCACCCAGGCUGGAGUGCAGGAGCACGACCUCGGCUUACUGCAACCUCGACCUCCUGGACUCAAGUGAUUCUCCUGCCUCAGCCUCCCAAGUUGCUGGGAUUACAGGCUCACGUCACCACACCUGGUCCCCCUAUGUUAUUGGGGACAGAAUUGUGCCCAGACAAGAAAAUGAUGUUUCCCAGCCUCCCCUGCAGCUGAGUGGGGACAACCAUUGAGAUGCCGUUGCAGGGCUCCGCUUUGGAGCGGGCAUUGGAGGAAUUCUUUGACCACCAAGCAGCCUCCAUACCUCCCUCCUACAUAACAGAGCCACCGAGAGGCUGUUUGCAUUCUGCCUGCUUUCUCUUUUUCCGUUGCAGUAGUUUAUUAAUUAGUGUGCAAAAAAUAAAAAGGAGGUAAUAACCUUAUUUAUGUGCUAGU